rnacentral:rRNA from 1 species
GACGAACCGUGCAAACGUUGUUCGGAAUCACUGGGCUUAAAGGGCGCGUAGGCGGGCAGGCAAGUCAGGGGUGAAAGCCCACGGCUCAACCGUGGAAGUGCCUUUGAUACUGCCUGUCUCGAGGGAGGUAGGGGCGUGCGGAACUUCCGGUGGAGCGGUGAAAUGCGUAGAUAUCGGAAGGAACACCGGUGGCGAAAGCGGCGCGCUGGACCUCUUCUGACGCUGAGGCGCGAAAGCCAGGGGAAGCAAAGCGGGAUUAAGAAACCCGUAGUAACGUC